GGGGAUGUGGUUUAGUGUAAGCAGCUUCACAAGUAAACAUCCGGUCAAUACGCCAUGUACUAACGAUUCUUCAAAGGGUAUAAUACCUCUUUAGCAUGCUAUUAUAGCGACUUGCCUAGAGGUGGUCCAGGGUUCGAUUCCCUGCAUCUCCA